GCCAGCAAUUAUAUCAUCAUGCAACUCACAACUGGUAACCCACUGAAACUCAGCAGGUGUGAGCCUGGUCAGUACCUGGACGGGAGACCUCCUGGGAAAAACUAAGGUAACUGCUCUCC
rnacentral:rRNA from 1 species